rnacentral:tRNA from 1 species
GCAGGGGUAAUCGAAUUGGCAUAGAUACUUGCCUUAGAAGCAAGGUUUUGAGGGUUCGACUCCCUCUCUCUGCACCA